GCACAAUGCGGACAGUGCUACAAGAAGAGAUUUAUAGAGUCUUAAGAGUCUCAAGAAGCGUACAAGGAGAUGAGGAGUGAAUCACCAAAACAAGUGGUUUUGGUUUGUGAAUCACCAAAACAAGUGGUUUUGGUUUGUGAAUCAGUAUGGUUUACCCAAAACACUUGUUUGGUGUGUUUACUUCUGAUCUCUUCGUACUCUUCUUGCGAUUCUAUGACACUCUACAUGUAACAUCGGCAUGGUUUACCAAAAAGCCU